rnacentral:rRNA from 1 species
GUCUACAGCCAUGCCACUCUGAACAAGCCCGAUCCCGUCUGAUCUCAGAAGCUAAGCAGGGUCGGGCCUGGUUAGUACUUGGAUGGGAGACCACCUAGGAAGAUCAGGUGCUAUAGGUG